GCCUUAUUUGAAGGAGGUUCAGCUCAAGCAGAUUGAUGGAAAAAUUGGUAUGUUAAUAGGGACGAAUGUACCAAAGGCGCUUGAGCCCUGGAAGGUUAUCAACAGUGAGGGCAACGGCCCAUAUGCUGUAAAAACUACACUAGGCUGGACGAUUAAUGGACCUCUGCUAAGAGAAGAGGGUAUUGCUCAAGGAGCUGUUGAGUGGCCACCGGUGAUGGUGAACAGGAUAUCGGUGACAAAGCUAGAGGAGCUCUCGCAGCAGCAAAUGAAAUAUGACUUCCCUGAGCAUGAGUUGUCAGAGAAAAUGGAAAUGUCAGCCAGAGACAGACAAUUUAUGGAGUCUGUGUCACUGUCAGUGAAGCAGGUUCACGGUCACUACACCAUUGGCCUUCCUUUAAAGAGCAAGGGGGCUGCAUUUCCAAACAACCGUGUUGUGGCGGUACAAAGAGCAGAAGGCCUGAAACGGAGGCUAUUAAGAGACAGUGAGUUUCAUCAAGAGUACACAAAGUUCAUGACAGAGACACUGGAAAGGGGCUAUGCCGAAGAAGUUCCCGUGGCAGAAACUUCUAAAAGUGGUAGCAGAAUAUGGUAUCUCCCACAUCAUGGGGUCUACCACCCAACCAAGCACAAGUUGAGAGUGGUAUUUGACUGUGCAUCCACGUAUCAAGGCAUGUCACUGAACUCACAGCUGUUGCAGGGGCCAGACUUAACCAAUUCCCUCAUAGGUGUUUUGAUGAGGUUCAGGCAGGAGCCAGUUGCCUUCAUGUCUGAUAUUGAAGGCAUGUUUCAUCAAGUCAGGGUUCCCGCUGAAGAUGCCGAUUUGUUGAGAUUCUUGUGGUGGCCAUAGGGAGAUCUUGGUAAAGGCCUCAAGGAAUACAGAAUGGUAGUUCACUUGUUCGGUGCAACUUCUUCACCAAGCUGUGCAUGCUACGCGCUGCAAAGGUGCGCUGAGGACAAUCAGGUGAGGUUCAACCAUAUUGCAGCGAACACUGUUCUAAGGAACUUUUAUGUGGAUGAUUGCCUGAAAUCUGUUGGCACUGAAGAGCAGGCGAUCUCACUGAUUCGGGACCUUAGGGCUUUGUGCGCUGCAGGAGGUUUCAAGCUCACUAAGUGGA
rnacentral:lncRNA from 1 species